GGAUUGCCUCAGUAACGGCGAGUGAAGCGGCAACAGCUCAAAUUUGAAAUCUGGCUCUUUCAGGGUCCGAGUUGUAAUUUGUAGAAGAUGCUUCGGGUGUGGCUCCGGUCUAAGUUCCUUGGAACAGGACGUCAUAGAGGGUGAGAAUCCCGUAUGUGACUGGGUGCCUUCGCUCAUGUGAAGCUCUUUCGACGAGUCGAGUUGUUUGGGAAUGCAGCUCAAAAUGGGUGGUAAAUUUCAUCUAAAGCUAAAUAUUGGCCAGAGACCGAUAGCGCACAAGUAGAGUGAUCGAAAGAUGAAAAGCACUUUGGAAAGAGAGUUAAACAGUACGUGAAAUUGUUGAAAGGGAAGCGCUUGCAACCAGACUUGCACGCGGUUGAUCAUCCGGUGUUCUCACCGGUGCACUCUGCCGCGUUCAGGCCAGCAUCGGUUUUGGUGGUUGGAUAAAGGCCUAGGGAAUGUAGCUUCUUUCGGGGAGUGUUAUAGCCCUAGGUGCAAUGCAGCCUACUAGGACCGAGGACCGCGCUUCGGCUAGGAUGCUGGCGUAAUGGUUGUAAGCGACCCGUCUUGAAACACGGACCAAGGAGUCUAACAUCUAUGCGAGUGUUUGGGUGUCAAACCCAUACGCGUAAUGAAAGUGAACGGAGGUGAGAACCCUUAAGGGUGCAUCAUCGACCGAUCCUGAUGUCUUCGGAUGGAUUUGAGUAAGAGCAUAGCUGUUGGGACCCGAAAGAUGGUGAACUAUGCGUGAAUAGGGUGAAGCCAGAGGAAACUCUGGUGGAGGCUCGCAGCGGUUCUGACGUGCAAAUCGAUCGUCAAAUUUGCGCAUAGGGGCGAAAGACUAAUCGAACCAUCUAGUA
rnacentral:rRNA from 1 species